rnacentral:rRNA from 1 species
CAGUAGCCGCGGGAAUACAGAGGGUGCAAGCGUUAAUCGGAAUUACUGGGCGUAAAGCGCGCGUAGGUGGUUUGUUAAGUUGGAUGUGAAAGCCCCGGGCUCAACCUGGGAACUGCAUCCAAAACUGGCAAGCUAGAGUACGGUAGAGGGUGGUGGAAUUUCCUGUGUAGCGGUGAAAUGCGUAGAUAUAGGAAGGAACACCAGUGGCGAAGGCGACCACCUGGACUGAUACUGACACUGAGGUGCGAAAGCGUGGGGAGCAAACAGGAUUAGAUACCCCUGUAGUCCCUGUCUCUUAUAC